rnacentral:lncRNA from 1 species
UGGAGGAUAGCUUGAGCCCAGGAGUUCCAGACCAGCCUGAGCAACAUGCUAUCAUCCCUCCUGUUAUAUUUGCAUCUUCUCUGCACACCUCCACCUGUGAUGUCUUCCUAGGACUCUCCAAUGUGUCUGGCCCUGACCAAGCUUUUUGCCCUAAGUGUGGCUUAUCUGCGAUGUCUUUCUCCCUAACAUCCAGUUCCAACCCCUUUGCGGGGUCCAAGGGCUCCUGGAGGAGGAGAUGACUUCUGGGGCACAGCAAACCAAGAUGUGUGCUCCCCAGAGCUGACUUGGAAGCUGUCCGGCCCCUCUGCAUUCACCCCAGCUGCCCAUGUACACCAGGCAGCAGGAGGGACAGCCACUGCAGGCUGCCAGCCUGUCCUUUGCUGUCUGUGUCUGUGUCAAGAGUGAAUGAAGUGAUAAAACCAGGAGAGCAGUGUGCUGUGAAAAAGUUAAAGUUCCUGGUGCUGAUUCCCACCUCCAUCAUUCUACAGCCCUGGACAAGUCAUCGUUUGUCUCAGCUGGAUCAUCCAGGCUGGUCUCUGGGCAUGAAGGCCUAGUGAGGAUUCAGUGAGGCCAUGGGGCCAUGGGAGGCCACUGCCUCGUGAACUGGCAGGGCCUUACUGUGAUGGGCCCACAGAGUACUGUGGGUUCUGCUAGACCAGAUGCUGGAGCUGUGGGCCUUUUGUUACCUCCCAGUUUGAUUAAGUUUCAUCUUACACAGUGAAUUAUGUGCAUUUCCUCUUGGGCUCUGUGCUGGCUGGGAUAACUGAGGGCCUGCUAUGGAGAUCCUGGAACCCUGACUUUCACAGCAUCUGUGAGGUGGAUGUACUCUAAAGCAGCGGUCCCCAACCUUUUUGGCACCAGGAACCAGUUUGGUGGAAGACCACUUUUCCACAGAGAGGGGGAAGGCAUGGUUGUGGGAUGAAACAGUUCCACUUCAAAUCAUCAGGCAUUAGUUAGAGUCUCAUAAGGAGCAUGAAACCUAGAUCCCUCACAUGCACAGUUCACAACAGGGUUUGUGCUCCUAUGAGAAUUUCAUGCCCCCCACUGAUCUGACGGGAGGUGGAGCUCAGGUGGUAAUGUUCUCUUGCCAGCUGCUCACCUCCUGCUGUGUGGCCUGGUUCCUAAAAGGCCACAAAUCAGUACCAGUCCAUGGCCUAGGGGUUGGGGACCCCUGCUAUAAAGGCACCAAAAGCUGCUUGCAGGUAAGGAAGAGCAUCAACCACACAGAAAGGCCUGAGGGGCUGCCUUUGAACUCUCUCUAUGUAUGGGUAAGGGCAAAGGCUAGCACAUAUUGUGGAAUGAAGAAAGCAAGUUGCAGUGAGAGUUUCCUUUAUGUAAAAUUAGUUCUAUCCAUCCAUGUCUACAGAUGCACAUGGACACAGGGGCAGGCCUGGAGCCACAUUCACCAAGCCAGAAGGGAUACGUGUAGUCAGUGCACCUUCCCAGAGUGCAGAUAUUCUCUGUCACCUGCAUGUUCUUGCCAUAUCUGAUUAUGACCUGUAAUACAGAUAUUUAAACAGACUCAUAUUUUUAUUUUAAAAAAAUCUACUCACUCUUGUCCCAAGCAAAAGUAUCUGAAAAAUCAUGGCUUAGAUGUUGUAUUAGUCUAUUUUCACACUGCUGUGAAGAUACUACCUGAGACUGGGUAAUUUAUAAACAAAAGAGGUUUAAUUGACUCACAGUUCCAUAUGGCUGGGGAGGCCUCAGGAAACUUACAGUCAUGGCGGAAGGUGAAGGGAAUUAGGUGCCUUCUUCGCAUGGUGGCAGGAGAGAGAGAGCGUGCAGGGAAAGCUGCUAUUUUUAAAACCAUCAGAUCUCGUAAGAACUCCCUCACUAUCACAAGAACAGCACGGGGGAAACCAUCCCCAUCAUCCAAUUACCUCCCACCAGGUUCCUCCCUCAACAUGUGGGGAUUACAAUUGGAGAUUAGAUUUGGGUGGGGACACAGAACCAAACCAUAUCAGAUGUGGUAACUAUAUUUUUUCUAACAUA